rnacentral:tRNA from 2 species
GCAACAGUAGCUCAGCAUCAGAGCCCCGGUCUUGUAAGCCGAAUGUCGAGGGUUAAAAUCCCCCCUUUUGCU